GCUCGGGUGGCUCAGUCGGUUAAGCGUCCGACUUCGGCUCGGGUCAUGAUCUCACAGUUCGUGGGUUGGAGCCCCACGUCGGGCU
rnacentral:tRNA from 1 species